AUGAUCAUAAAAAAUACAGCAAAGAUGCAUAUGUAUAUUCCAAAAAAAAAAAAAAAUUAUAAUGAGAACAAUUAUGAGAAAAAUUCUUAUGAAAGUACAGAAUAUAAUAGAAAGUACAUAAGAGAAGAUGUUGAUUAUUAUAGUGUUAAAAAAAAAAAUGAAUAUGAUUAUAUAAGUCAUAAAUCGAAAAAUUCGCAUGAUUUACAACAUAAUACAAAAAAGCAUGAUACAUAUACACGUAGUGUUGUAUCUAGUCGCGAUAACAAUUCAAAUAGAAAAAAAAGUAGUGUAGAAAAAAAUCGUUACGAUUAUAAAAAUAAUACUAAUGUUAGUAACGCAUAUGGCAAUGACGCAUAUGUAUACAAAAGAAAAAAUGAAACAAUGUCACAUAAAACAAAUAGUAGCAAUUAUAUUUAUAGUUCACAAACAAAAACACAUAAAGAUAAUUAUAAUAAAUCUCAGUCGAAUAAAAAUGACCAUUUUGAAAAAUGGGAAGGUAAUUCCAAAAAACCAAACCAUUAUCUGCAUGAUAGUAGUGAUAGUGAGAGGAUAAAAAAAAAAAAAAAAGAAUACAGAUAUGAGGAAAAAGUAUUGGAUAAAAAUGUAGGUAGGGAUAAAGAACAUAGAGGAGAUAGUAUGUUAAAUAAAAAAGGAGAAAGAACAGAAGAAAAAAAAAAAAGGGAAUGGAAAGAUGAAUCAAAAGAAAUGAUAGAAAAUAUAGAACAUCGUGACAUUAAAACAAGAAAAUUGACAGAUGUCAAACAAGAAAAAAACAAAAGAACUAGUAAAGAUCAUAAAAGUAAAAACGAUUAUACAAAACAUACGGUAAAUAGUAUGGUAUAUAGUAAAAAAACGAGUGAAAAAUCGUAUGAUAGUGAUACAGAAAAUGUGAAUAAUAUGAAUUUACUUGAUAUAUCGAACUUAUUUAUCAAAAGAAAUAAAAAUAAAACACUUUUUCAAGUAUAUGAUGAUGUUGUUAAAUUUUAUGGAAAUGUAAAAAUUAGAAAAAUUAAUGAAAGUGUGCUAUAUAAUAAUAUAAACAAUAUAAACAAUAUAAAUAAUAUAAACAAUAUAAACAAUAUAAACAAUAUAAACAAUAUAAACAANNNNNNNNNNAAUAUAAACAAUAUAAACAAUAUAAACAAUAUAAACAAUAUAAACAAUAUAAAUAAUAUAAAUAAUAUAAAUAAUAUAAAUAAUAUAAAUAAUAAUAUAAAUAAUAGUUAUACGUAUGGCAACACUUACGGCAACACUUACGGCAACACGUUUGGCAACACUUAUGGUUACACGUAUGGUAACACGUAUGGUAACACGUAUGAUAACAACUACUACAAUAACAAUCGUGGAAAGGGCUAUGAAAAAAAAAUAAAAACAAACAUAGAAGUAGUAGAUACUUUGUAUUUAAUAGAAUUAUCAUCUGAUUAUGAUCAAGAGUCAAAUCUUUGUUUAAAAUCUCCACCAAUGUGUUCAUUGUUUAUAGGAAAUAAAAAAAAAAAAAAAAGUGACACAAUUGGGGUUACAGAUAAACAGAAGGAAUCACAAACGCAAAAAGAAUCACAAACGCAAAAAGAAUCACAAACGCAAACAGAAUCGCAAACGCAAACAGAAUCGCAAACGCAGAAAGAGUCGAACAAACGAAGUAAGUCCGAACCAAGCGAUAUGGAAAGAGCAUAUAGCCCAAACACAACACAUUCCAGUUUUUAUUAUGAUAAUUGGACAUACCCAUUAGACAUAUUCAAUAAAAUUAUUUAUAAAAAAAGUGAUCAUAGUUAUAAUAGUUGGGUACCUAAUUGUAUAACUUUAUGUGCAUUUAAUUUACCUACUUAUUUAUAUGAAAAUGUUGUAUUACAUGAUUUAAUUGAUAUUUAUUUUAAAUUAAAAGGAAUAGAUCCUGUAACAAUGAUUAUAAAAAAUAUUUUACAACUGGAUAAAAAACAAACAGAUAUGUCUUUAUCAAAAUAUUUAUCUCAUUAUUUUUUUAUUACACAAAAUGAAAACAAAUAUGAAUUGUUAGCUGAUAUAUUAGGUAUAGUAAAUAUAGAAAUAUUAUUUAGUCAUGAACAGUCAGUAGGAAAAAAUAUAUUAACAACUAAUGUUUACAAAUACGAUCUUAACAAAUUAUAUAAUAUAAACAAUAAUAUAAGUAAUAAUAUAAGUAAUAAUAUAAGUAAUAAUAUAAACAAUAAUAUAAGCAAUAAUAUAAGCAAUAACGAAAAAAAAAAUCAAAAUUCUAAUGAAAAUAAAAAUACAGAUAUUAGUAAGGGAAAUAACAUACAAACUAAUACACGCAAUAACAAUAAUAAUAACAAUUAUAAUAAUAAUAGAAAAAAAUAUAUUAGUGUUAUUAAUGGAGAUAUAGGUUUAAUAUAUUUUAAAAAUGAAAAAUAUGCUAAAGAGUUUUGGAUGACCUGUACUAAUUAUAACACUUAUCGAUAUGGUAAUAAUAUUAAAAUUAUACCUGAUGUUAGUGGUUUUAAAAUAUUUAUAGAAGCUGCAAUCUAUUUUUUAGUACCUGGAUCAUUAUUUGUACAUAUUAAUUAUAACAAAUUAACUUUAGUCAUGAACAGUAUACAAAAAGAAGCUCCACAUGUUGUUAGUUUUAUUAACGAAUUAAAAACUUAUCACAAUGAAUCAAAUAUAUGGAACUUGAUUUUUGCAAAUGUAGGUAUAGAUAUAGAACAAUUAGGAAAACAAAAUCCACAGAACGUAAAAAAUGAAAUUAAGAAUUGUGAUGUAUCCAAACAGAAUAAAACAGAAGGGGCAACAAACGCUACAGAAAAAGAUACAAAAGUAGAGACAAAAGUAGAGACAAGAGCAAGGACAAUAUCAGGGACAAUAUCAGGGACAAUAUCAGGGACAAGAUCAAAGACAAAAGCAGAGACAAUAGCAGGGAUAAGAGAAAGCGCAUCAAUGCUUCACAACUCUCCUAAUAACUAUCACCGUAGUAACCCAAAUCAAACAAAUAACAACCAAAACGCACAAAAAAAAAAAAAAAAAAUAAAGUCAAAUUAUUUGAGCAUAUGUUUUCCAAACCUUUUAAUUCGUAUAUAUAACACACAUAUAAAUAAAUAUUUAAUAGAAAAUGGAUAUUGUUUAAUUGCAUGUCCAUAUUUAGAAAAAAAAACAGGAGAAAAAGUAGCUGAUUUUUUAAACAAUUUUUAUUUAAUAGAUUGGUUAUACAAUGAAACAGAUGAAACAUGUUAUUUUUAUAUUUUAAAGACUGUAGUUAAUGUUUUUUCAGUUUUUAAAAAAACAUUCAGUGCAUCAAUUUAUCAUACAGUCUCUUCUAUUUUUUUAAAAUUACCUUUGGGUAUAAUUCCAGGUGUUUUUAUUAAUGUUAAUACAAAAAUUGGGUCAAAUAUAUUUUUAAAAAAUCUUGCUAUAUCUUCAAAUAAUAUACCAAAAAAAGGAAUACAACAAACAUCUGAUUUUUCUUUUCUCACAAAUGUUAUAGCAGCUGAUACUACUAUUAAUAAUCAUAAUAAAUGGUCAAUAAGUUUUUAUGAUAGAUAUAUUAUGAAAAUACUAGGCAUUGAUUUUGAUUCGAUUACAGAUUAUUCGUCUGAACGGAACAAAAAUGAUAUCCCCACAACAUCUGCAACACCCAAAACAUUCGCAUCUUCACGUGUUAACACCACACAUUCUAACACCACACAUUCUAACACCCCACGUUUUAACACCACAAAUUUUAACACAAAUUUUAACACAAGUUUUAAUAGUACAAGUACAAAAAAUAUAAGUCCGAAUGUUAUAAGAUCAGAUAGAUUGUUUAUGAAAAAAGUAGAAGAUAAGAAAAACAUACAAACUAACCAAGUAGUAGCACCUAAAUUUUUAUCUUUACUAACUAACAAAAUGAGUAAUAUUAUAAAUUUAAAAAAAAAAAAAAUAGAUAUAUCACAGCUUAAUAAUAUAAAAGAAAAUAAUUUAAAAAAAGAUAAUAAUAUUUUAAUAGGAAAGCAAAAUAAGGAUAUAAAUUUGAUAAAAAGUAAUCGGACACCGAAAGCGAUACAUCAAGUUAAAGUGGCAAACCAGAUCAAAAAAAAAGAAAAAACAAAACCAAAUGCUAAAAAAAUUCAGUUAACUAAAAAUAUAGAACUUAUAGAAAAAGUGGAAAACAACGAGAAGAAAAUUAACUUGAAAAAAAAAAAAAAGUUAUACUAA
rnacentral:lncRNA from 1 species